rnacentral:rRNA from 1 species
UACGUAGGGUGCGAGCGUUGUCCGGAAUUACUGGGCGUAAAGAGCUCGUAGGUGGUUUGUCGCGUUGUUCGUGAAAACUCACAGCUCAACUGUGGGCGUGCGGGCGAUACGGGCAGGCUAGAGUUCGGUAGGGGAGACUGGAAUUCCUGGUGUAGCGGUGAAAUGCGCAGAUAUCAGGAGGAACACCGAUGGCGAAGGCAGGUCUCUGGGCAUUAACUGACGCUGAGGAGCGAAAGCAUGGGGAGCGAACAGG